rnacentral:lncRNA from 1 species
GCUUUCAACUCUCUGAACUUCGGUUCCUCAUCUGCCAGUUGGCAGACGCUCAGCAAAUCUUCCUAGACUCACGGGGCGAAUUGUACAGUUGGGUAAAUCGAGGCCCAGAGAUGGCAAAAGGACCGUCCAAGGUCGUACAGCCACCCGGAAUUACAAUUCUUUUCUGCCGGGUCACACGCUGUCAUCCACGUGUUACCUAAGAGAGCUUUCCAGCCUGUGCUAAGAAAACUGCCCCACAUCAUCUGCAGUAGGACGGGGGAGUUGGAGCCCUGGUCAGGCCACUCUGCUACUGACCACAGUUUUCUCAUCUCUAAAAAGGCGCAGUAACAAUAUAAUUACCGUAUGCAGUCCCCCAGGAUACAGGGUCAAAGGAGAGCACAACCAUCGCAGUUGGAAGCCCAUGGGGCAGACCCAGACUUCACCCUCAGGUCACCCUCACCUGGACUUUGGGGUGCCCCACACCCCGCCCCAGGCCCUGGCCUCUGGAAUAUUUGGAAACUUGAACUGGGCCAGAGGCUUAAGCUCACAUCUGUCUGGAGCCUCAACUUUCUCCUCUGUAAAAUGGGCUAACACUGAAAGAACCUUGCAGAAUCUCAGCAACGUCACAGAGGACAUUGUUAGCACAGCCAGCGGGCUCCUGCUGGGCUGAGUUUGUGGGUAAUCCAAGCCUCGGCAGGUACAGUUCCUCCCUCAGCAGGGCCCAGGACACAGUGAGCAUACAAUAGACAUUAGCUGCUGUGGUGUCUUGAUUUCAAGCCCAGUGCAGAUGCAUCUGACUUACGAAACUUCAGUGACACCUGCUCUGUGCCAGACACUGAAGAUGGAGCAGUGAACAGCACUGACCCAGCCUGUCCUCCUGUUGCCUGCAGGCCAGAAGCAAGGUCUCGCUGUGUUACCCUGGCUGGAGUGCAGUGGCUACUUACAGGCAUGAUCAUAGCAUACUGCAGCCUCGAACUCCUGGACUAGAGCAGUUCUCCUGCCU